rnacentral:rRNA from 1 species
AACGAACGCUGGCGGCAGGCUUAACACAUGCAAGUCGAGCGCCCCGCAAGGGGAGCGGCAGACGGGUGAGUAACGCGUGGGAAUCUACCCAUCUCUACGGAAUAACGCAUGGAAACGUGUGCUAAUACCGUAUACGUCCUUCGGGAGAAAGAUUUAUCGGAGAUGGAAGAGCCCGCGUUGGAGUAGCUAGUUGGUGGGGUAAAGGCCUACCAAGGCGACUAUCCAUAGCUGGUCUGAGAGGAUGUUCAGCCACACUGGGACUGAGACACGGCCCAAACUCCUACGGGAGGCGGCAGUGGGGAAUACUGGACAAUGGGCGCAAGCCUGAUCCAGCCAUGCCGCGUGGGUGAUGAAGGCCCUAGGGUUGUAAAGCUCUUUCAUAGGUGAAGAUAAUGACGGUAACCGGAGAAGAAGCCCCGGCUAACUUCGUGCCAGCCGCCGCAGUAAAAC